UACGAAGGGGGCUAGCGUUGCUCGGAAUGACUGGGCGUAAAGGGCGCGUAGGCGGAAUGCUUUGUCAGACGUGAAAUUCCAGGGCUCAACCUUGGGGCUGCGUUUGAGACGGGUAUUCUUGAGUUCGGAAGAGGGUCGUGGAAUUCCCAGUGUAGAGGUGAAAUUCGUAGAUAUUGGGAAGAACACCGGUGGCGAAGGCGGCGACCUGGUCCGAGACUGACGCUGAGGCGCGAAAGCGUGGGGAGCAAACA
rnacentral:rRNA from 1 species